rnacentral:rRNA from 1 species
GUUAUCUAUAAUAAUAAACAAUUUUAUCUCACGAAAUCAUGUGAGCUAUAUACUUAAUAAUAUUAGAAAUAACCAUUAGUGUAGCAGCACUAAAAAUAAUAUAAGUAUUUAGGAGUGAAAGGCUUUACAAAUAUGACGAUAUCUUGAUGACAUCUGGAAAAAUAUAUAGUAUAAAAUAAAUUAAAAAUGUUAAGGUUUUUAAUUAACAUAAUUUAGUUAGUACCUUUUGUUGUGUACUUAAUAGUUACAGCUCUUGAUAAUUUAAUAUUAAUAAACUGAAGAAUAUGUAAAAUACUUGUCGCGUAAAUUUAAUUACUAAUAUACUUUAAAAUGAUAAUAUUAGUAUUAGUUAAAACUAAAAUAAGGAAUUCAGCAACUUUUUUUCUCGACUGUUUAACAAAAACAUUGCUCUAUGUAAUUAUUUAGGGUUAAACCUGCUCAAUGAUUAUUUAAAUAGCCGCAGUACAUUGACUGUGCAAAGGUAGCAUAAUCAAUUGGCUUAUAAUUGAAGUCUAGUAUGAAUGGGAUCCCGGGGAAUAACUGUCUUAAUUAAGUAUAUAGAAAUUACUUAGUGAGUGAAAAAUCUCACAUAUAGAAGAAAGACGAGAAGACCCUAGAAAUUUUUUAAAGUAUAUAUUUUUAUAUUCUAUUUUGUUGGGGCGACAUAGUAACAGUUAACUUACUAAUUUAACAUGCUAUUUAUUAGUAGAAAGAAUAAAUUACUCUAGGGAUAACAGCAUAAUUCAAUUUGAGUUUGUGACCUCGAUGUUGGACUAGGAAAUAAAUUAUUUAGAAGAUAAUUUAAUAGGCUCUGUUCGAGCCAUACUUUCCUACAUGAUCUGAGUUCAGACCGG